rnacentral:rRNA from 1 species
AACGUAGGAGACAAACGUUAUCCGGAGUUACUGGGCGUAAAGGGCGUGUAGGUGGUAUCGUAAGUCUGGCGUGAAAUUUCUCGGCUUAACCGAGGCAGGUCGUCGGAUACUGCGAGGCUAGAGGACGGUAGAGGCGUGUGAAAUUCCGGGUGUAGUGGUGAAAUGCGUAGAGAUCCGGAGGAACACCAGUGGCGAAGGCGACACGCUGGGCCGUACCUGACACUGAUGCGCGACAGCAUGGGGAGCAAACAGG